GGAAAUAUAGUAUAUACCAAGAAUUUCGUUGUUUCUAAAGCUCGAACUAGAAACCUCUGGUUAAACAUGAGGUCAAUAGCAAAGGAGUGAAAAUAUCGAUCCGAAACAAAAAAUAAAGAAAAAAAUGGAAGGAAGUAUAACUUUAUAAUACCCUAUUUUAUAAGCCCUUUACAUAAUUCUCAGAACUGAGGUUUAUUUAGUUGCAAGGAAUGGAGGAAAAAUGAAGAUUAAGAACAAUUGCUGUAAUAGAUGUUAGAAAACACGACGUUCCUCGAUCUCCCGAGCAGAUUCACACAUGGAAGAGACCGAUAAAUCCAGUGGUAAUCACGGUUUCAUUAACGUUUUCUUUAUAUAAUCCAGAACUUCGUCCACAUCAACUGUCCACGCAACUGAAACCGGGGAAUAAUCUGUCCAAGGAUUGCUCGUAUUCCACUUCUUUAGCCCUUGGUCCAUUAAGGUGUGUCCAACGCAGAUGCCUUGUGUCUCAACCCUCACGACGCCCUUCUUGAAGGUGAAAAGUUCAGGCCAAACUAGUGCAGCAAAGCUAACAGGAUCAUGUAGGAAAAUACCAUAGACACCGUCUGAUUUCACGUGCCAAUCACGGUAAAAUUUGCACAUAUCGCACACAAAUUUAGCGUAUUUUCCUUUGGAUUGCUUUAGUUCUUCAAGAUCAGCAUCUUUCAAUUUGACUUGAGUAGUAAUGUUGAUGCCGACAACAUCAAUAUUUGCCCCCGAUGUAAACACAACAUCAGCAGCCUCAGGGUCCCCAUAUAUAUUUGCUUCUGCGGCAGGAUUAACAUUUCCUAAAGCAAAGAAGGAACCACCGAGAACAACCACUCUCUUCACCUUGCUUGCAAAGGUUGAGUCCCUCUUGACAGCCAACGCCAAGUUUGUCAAUGGUCCCAGUGCAAGUAUCGACACUUCACCAGGAUAUUCAGAAACUUUUUCCACCAAGAAUUCAGAUGCAGACUUGUUGAUUUUCUUUGAGUUUGGAGAAGGUAAGAAUAAGUUGCCUAAUCCAUCUGAGCCAUGAACAAAGUCUGCAACACGUGGUUCCCCUCCCUUUAGAGGUUCAGGGCUACCCUCUGCCACGGGAACAUCCGGAUAUCCUGCAGCUUCACACAAAAGUAAAGCAUUUCGUGUAGCAUCUUUUGUGGUAACGUUGCCAAAGAUUGUAGUCAAGCCUAUGAUCUCAACUUCUGGUGUCUGAAAUGCCAUUAGUAUUGUCAUACUGUCAUCAAUACCAGGAUCAGUAUCAAUAAUAAUCUUUUCACGUUGCUUAGCAAAAGAAUUGUUGGAAUCCACCAAAUCACCAUCACAAAUCGACAUUCUUGAAAAGUUAUCAAGAAUUCAAAAGGGAAACUUUUUUGAAGAGAAAAGAAAAAAGGGGAAUCUUGGGACCUAUCAAG
rnacentral:misc_RNA from 1 species